rnacentral:rRNA from 1 species
GACGUAGGGCGCGAGCGUUUGUCCGGAUUUAUUGGGCGUAAAGAGCUCGUAGGCGGCUUGUUGCGUCAGCUGUGAAAACCCGCAGCUCAACUGUGGGCUUGCAGCUGAUACGGGCAGGCUUGAGUUCGGUAGGGGAGACUGGAAUUCCUGGUGUAGCGGUGAAAUGCGCAGAUAUCAGGAGGAACACCGGUGGUGUAAACGGCUUUCUGGACCAUAACUGACGCUGAGGAGCGAAAGCGUGGGGAGCGAACAGG